UGGGGUACAGCUCAGUGGUAGAGCACUUGCCUAGCACGCCUGAAGCCCUGGGUUCUAUCCCCAGCACCGUAA
rnacentral:tRNA from 1 species